rnacentral:rRNA from 1 species
CGCGCAGGCGGUGAUUUAAGCAGGAUGUGAAAGGCUACGGCUCAACCGUAGACAUGCACCCUGAACUGGGUCACUUGAGUAUUGGAGAGGCAGGCAGAAUUCCUGGUGUAGCGAUGAAAUGCGUAGAUAUCAGGAGGAAUACCGGAGGCGAAGGCGACCUACUGGGCACCAACUGACGCUGAGGCUCGAAAGCAUGGGUAGCAAACA